rnacentral:lncRNA from 1 species
CCAGUUCCAGAUAGUUGCUUCCGUCCUCUUCCUUUGAAAGCUCUUUCCGAAGUUCUUUCCAUUCUUGUCUCCUUGCAUCCCUUUUCCUUUGGCAUUUUUCUCUGUGUUCUCCUUUUUGGGGCUAGCGCUAUGGCUAGAACCUCUCCAUGAGGAAGUCAGUCGGGGAACCUGACCGACGAUUUUCGAUCGACCCCUGAGGUGGAGGUAUCUUCACUUUCGGAGGCAAACGUCGAACGGCUCAGGGAGCAGUACGGUAUCUCAGAGCAGUUCGAACUCUUCGCCCCUGGAGCUGAGGGUCGGGUUAACAACCC